AUCAAGUUGGAAAUUCAAUGCAAGUUGAUAGAGGACCUUCUUGGAUAUCUGGCCCACCAGAGAGCUCAGGAAGGAUACAGCUUCCUGGACCACAGGCAAUGGUUCCUGGUCAGAUGGGCCCUGGCAGUCAGCCCACUCGUGCUGCACCAUUGACUCCUGAGAUGGAGAAAGCGCUACUUCAGCAGGUCAUGAGCCUCACCCCAGAACAGAUUAAUCUCCUACCUCCUGAACAGAGGAAUCAAGUGCUCCAGCUGCAGCAAAUGCUGCGUCAAUGAAGCUAUCUUCCCCGUUCAAAUUGACAGUGUCAGUUGUUGCAGUAUCGUUUCAGGUCAUCUCAGUUGGCAAUUGGUUGGAGGUGAAGAAUCACGCAGAACAUGAAACUGGACAUAGAUAUACCUUUGGAAGAUUUAGACUGAAAGUGUUCAAAAGUUCUAGCUUUGCUUCUGCAAUGCAGCUGAUAGUCUGGAUUUUGAGUUUUAUCGAUGAGAUUGUCCAGGUGGCAGUGAUCUGUAAUUUUUUCAGCCCGGACAAUUUAUCAACUUUUAAGUGGACUUUCUUGAUAUUGACUACGUUCCAACACAGUUUCAGUUCUGUACAAUGGGCAAUAGGACUAAUGUAGUCAUAUGUAUGAUUAAUAUGUUUAUUUUUUAUUUUUUUUAAUACUAUAUAAUAAAAAAUAUAUUUCCAAA
rnacentral:misc_RNA from 1 species